GAGAUUUAUCCUGGCUCAGAACGAACGCUGGCGGCAGGCUUAACACAUGCAAGUCGAACGCCCCGCAAGGGGAGUGGCAGACGGGUGAGUAACGCGUGGGAAUCUACCGUACCCUACGGAACAACAGUUGGAAACGACUGCUAAUACCGUAUACGCCCUACGGGGGAAAGAUUUAUCGGGGUAUGAUGAGCCCGCGUUGGAUUAGCUAGUUGGUGGGGUAAAGGCCUACCAAGGCGACGAUCCAUAGCUGGUCUGAGAGGAUGAUCAGCCACAUUGGGACUGAGACACGGCCCAAACUCCUACGGGAGGCAGCAGUGGGGAAUAUUGGACAAUGGGCGCAAGCCUGAUCCAGCCAUGCCGCGUGAGUGAUGAAGGUCUUAGGAUUGUAAAGCUCUUUCACCGACGAAGAUAAUGACGGUAGUCGGAGAAGAA
rnacentral:rRNA from 1 species